GACUGGAUAGCCUAGUGGUUAAGGUAUCACAUUGACAUUGUUUCUCAGCUUACAUACUGGGGUCCCAGGCUCAAAUCUUGGUCUAUUCA